rnacentral:rRNA from 1 species
CCUACGGGGGGCAGCAGGCGCGAAACCUUCACAAUGCACGAAAGUGUGAUGAGGGUACUCCGAGUGCGCAUACAUUUGUAUGUGCUUUUCUGCAGCGUAAAUAGUUGCAGGAAUAAGGGCUGGGCAAGACCGGUGCCAGCCGCCGCGGUAACACCGGCAGCCCUAGUGGUGGCCGCUUUUAUUGGGCCUAAAGCGUCCGUAGCCGGAUAGGCAAGUCUUUGGGUAAAUCCUACGUCUUAAGCGUGGGAAUUCUAAAGAUACUACCUGUCUUGAGGCCGGGAGAGGCUAGAGGUACUCCUGGGGUAGGGGUAAAAUCCUAUAAUCCCAGGGGGACCACCGAUGGCGAAGGCAUCUAGCUGGAACGGGCCUGACGGUGAGGGACGAAACCCAGGGGAGCGAGCCGGAUUAGAUACCCCGGUAGUCC